GACGAACGCUGCGGCGCGCCUUAAUACAUGCAAGUAGGCCGCUGAAGGAGGAGCUUGCUUCUCUGGAUGAGUUGCGAACGGGUGAGUAACGCGUAGGUAACCUGCCUGGUAGCGGGGGAUAACUAUUGGAAACGAUAGCUAAUACCGCAUAAAAUUGAUUAUUGCAUGAUAGUCAAUUAAAAGGUGCAAUUGCAUCACUACCAGAUGGACCUGCGUUGUAUUAGCUAGUUGGUGAGGUAACGGCUCACCAAGGCAACGGAUACAUAGCCGACCUGAGAGGGUGAUCGGGCCACACUUGGGACUUGAGACACGGGCCCCCAAGACCUUCCUCCUUACGGGAGGCAGCAGU
rnacentral:rRNA from 1 species